rnacentral:rRNA from 1 species
AACCAACAGGGAUUGCCCCAGUAACGGCGAGUGAAGCGGCAACAGCUCAAAUUUGAAAUCUGGCCCUUUCGGGUCCGAGUUGUAAUUUGUAGAGGAUGCUUUUGGCAAGGCGCCGCCCGAGUUCCCUGGAACGGGACGCCACAGAGGGUGAGAGCCCCGUCUGGCUGGCCGCCGAGCCUCUGUAAAGCUCCUUCACGAGUCGAGUAGUUUGGGAAUGCUGCUCAAAAUGGGAGGUAUAUGUCUUCUAAAGCUAAAUAUUGGCCAGAGACCGAUAGCGCACAAGUAGAGUGAUCGAAAGAUGAAAAGCACCUUGAAAAGAGGGUUAAAUAGUACGUGAAAUUGUUGAAAGGGAAGCGCUUGUGACCAGACUUGGGCGCGGCGGAUCAUCCGGGGUUCUCCCCGGUGCACUUCGCCGUGUCCAGGCCAGCAUCAGUUCGUCGCGGGGGAAAAAGGCUUCGGGAACGUGGCUCCCCUGGGAGUGUUAUAGCCCGUUGCAUAAUACCCUGCGGUGGACUGAGGACCGCGCAUCUGCAAGGAUGCUGGCGUAAUG